AUUGAACGCUGGCGGCAGGCUUAACACAUGCAAGUCGUGCGGGGGAAGGUAGCUUGCUACCGGACCUAGCGGCGGACGGGUGAGUAAUGCUUAGGAAUCUGCCUAUUAGUGGGGGACAACAUCUCGAAAGGGAUGCUAAUACCGCAUACGUCCUACGGGAGAAAGCAGGGGAUCUUCGGACCUUGCGCUAAUAGAUGAGCCUAAGUCGGAUUAGCUAGUUGGUGGGGUAAAGGCCUACCAAGGCGACGAUCUGUAGCGGGUCUGAGAGGAUGAUCCGCCACACUGGGACUGAGACACGGCCCAGACUCCUACGGGAGGCAGCAGUGGGGAAUAUUGGACAAUGGGGGGAACCCUGAUGCAGCCAUGCCGCGUGUGUGAAGAAGGCCUUAUGGUUGUAAAGCACUUUAAGCGAGGAGGAGGCUACUUUAGUUAAUACCUAGAGAUAGUGGACGUUACUCGCAGAAUAAGCACCGGCUAACUCUGUGCCAGCCGCCGCGGUAA
rnacentral:rRNA from 1 species